AUUUUAAUAGCUUAUUUUUAGAGUGUUGUAUUGAAGAUACAAAGGAGGAUAUUUUCCUUAAAGUA
rnacentral:tRNA from 2 species